AUUGAACGCUGGCGGCAGGCCUAACACAUGCAAGUCGAGCGGCGCGGCGGACGGGUGGGUAAUGCCUAGGACUCUGCCUGGUCGUUGGGGAUAGCGUCCGGAAACGGGCCCUAAUACCGCAUCCGAUCUGAUGAGACUAGGUCGGAUUAGCUAGUUGGUGGGGUAAGGGCCUACCAAGGCGACGAUCCGUAACUGGUCUGAGAGGAUGAUCAGUCACACUGGAACUGAGACACGGUCCAGACUCCUACGGGAGGCAGCAGUGGGGAAUAUUGGACAAUGGGCGAAAGCCUGAUGCAGCCAGGCCGCGUGUGUGAAGAAGGUCUUCGGAUUGUAAAGCACUUUAAGUUGGGAGGCGUUACCAACAGAAUAAGCACCGGCUAACUUCGUGCCAGCAGCCGCGGUAAUAC
rnacentral:rRNA from 1 species